UACGUAGGGUGCAAGCGUUAAUCGGAAUUACUGGGCGUAAAGCGUGCGCAGGCGGUUCCAUAAAACAGAUGCGAAAUCCCCGGGCUCAACCUUGGAUCUGCACUUGUGACUGUUGGGCUAGAGAACGGUAGAGGGGGAUGGAAUUCCGCGUGUAGCAGUGAAAUGCGUAGAUAUGCGGAGGAACACCAAUGGCGAAGGCAAUCCCCUGGACCUGUACUGACGCUCAUGCACGAAAGCUUGGGGAGCAAACAGG
rnacentral:rRNA from 1 species